UCUCCGCGACCCUGUGCGCCACUACCCAUCGAAGCCCCGCGCCACGCCCCGCCGCUUGGGCGGGAUUCUCACGAGAUCCGCCGUUGCUUCGCCGGCUUGUCACCCCGCUCAGCGGCGUCACAGGAUCCGUCGUCGGCCCGCCAAGCCGCUAGAUUAGCCACUGCUUCACCAGCGCAUCAUCCCGCUCCCUCGCAGAGACGGUCUCGCUUCUCACCCUCCCGAUCUCCUCGCUCCUCCCGAAUCCAAUCCAAUCCCUGAAACGAUUUCCAACCCUAUCGCCCGACAAGGCCGGCGGCACUGUUCCUCUUUCGCCACUAACGAUUCCAACGGCGCCCUACCCUCUUUCGCGUCGCCAGCGCCUUUGACCCCGCCUUCCUCCAAUUCGCCCGUAUCGCUCUCGAUCUCCUUGGAUCUCGAACGAAAACCAGACACGCUGUCGAUCACGCUCGCGCACCCAGGGACGGUGACCGCGUAACGCCUCGUGGGUGACCUCCGCUACGCCGCCGCUGUCCACACCGCCCGCUGGUAGGGGAGCGUGGACGCCAGGAAGGAUGUGACCGUGGCGCAGGCGACACGCUCUCGAUGGCCAGGCGCCUCAUCCCUACCUGCCGAAACCAGCAGCAGACACCAUCUCAAUCCAGCCUCGCCUCCUCCUGGUCUUCCCACUCGACCUGAUCUUACCACAAUGAUCUGUUUCGAUGUCUUAUGCUUCGUUUUGAUAUGGGUCUCUGGCUCUCUGCAUCAGUCGGAUCAAGAGAUGGGCAAGGACACUGCACUCCAUGGGAAGCUAGCGGAGCUGAGCGCUAAAUCUAGUCAAGGAGCCUCACCUUUGUUAAGGAAGGAACCGCAGAAACACAUCUGGGCGCAGUUCGAUGUGGCCAUGGCGGCGAAUGCUUUGUCGAAGGGCACGGAGGGCAGCAGCUAUCCACUGUCACAGCGUGCGACAGAGAGGGGCAGUCCAGGCUCAUGGGGUUGGACCUGCUGAACGGGCUUAACCCCACUGUUGGUCGAGAAGACCAGGCUGCACACAACCUGAAUCUUCAUGGUCAAAUUUCAUGGUAAGGCGCCUCAUGGGCGCAUGGAGUAAUACAACCUGAUGCGAUACUUCGUGGAGGAGGCCGUCAGCCUCUUCGACGUCCGCGGCCUCUACAAGAU